rnacentral:rRNA from 1 species
AUUGAACGCUGGCGGCAGGCCUAACACAUGCAAGUCGAGCGGAUGAAGGGAGCUUGCUCCCUGAUUUAGCGGCGGACGGGUGAGUAAUGCCUAGGAAUCUGCCUGGUAGUGGGGGACAACGUUUCGAAAGGAACGCUAAUACCGCAUACGUCCUACGGGAGAAAGUGGGGGAUCUUCGGACCUCACGCUAUCAGAUGAGCCUAGGUCGGAUUAGCUAGUUGGUGAGGUAAAGGCUCACCAAGGCGACGAUCCGUAACUGGUCUGAGAGGAUGAUCAGUCACACUGGAACUGAGACACGGUCCAGACUCCUACGGGAGGCAACAGUGGGGAAUAUUGGACAAUGGGCGAAAGCCUGAUCCAGCCAUGCCGCGUGUGUGAAGAAGGUCUUCGGAUUGUAAAGCACUUUAAGUUGGGAGGAAGGGCAGUAAGUUAAUACCUUGCUGUUUUGACGUUACCAACAGAAUAAGCACCGGCUAACUUCGUGCCAGCAGCCGCCGCCAGUA